AGUGAACGCUGGCGGUAGGCCUAACACAUGCAAGUCGAACGGCAGCACAGUAAGAGCUUGCUCUUACGGGUGGCGAGUGGCGGACGGGUGAGGAAUACAUCGGAAUCUACUUUUUCGUGGGGGAUAACGUAGGGAAACUUACGCUAAUACCGCAUACGACCUACGGGUGAAAGCAGGGGAUCUUCGGACCUUGCGCGAUUGAAUGAGCCGAUGUCGGAUUAGCUAGUUGGCGGGGUAAAGGCCCACCGAGGCGACGAUCCGUAGCUGGUCUGAGAGGAUGAUCAGCCACACUGGAACUGAGACACGGUCCAGACUCCUACGGGAGGCAGCAGUGGGGAAUAUUGGACAAUGGGCGCAAGCCUGAUCCAGCCAUACCGCGUGGGUGAAGAAGGCCUUCGGGUUGUAAAGCCCUUUUGUUGGGAAAGAAAAGCAGCAGGUUAAUACCCCGCUGUUCUGACGGUACCCAAAGAAUAAGCACCGGCGAACUUCGU
rnacentral:rRNA from 1 species